CUGAAAUGAUGAAAGUUAGCCAAAUCUUAUUAUAACAUGCUCCUCUACAUGUAAGCUUUAUCUGUGCCUUUGGUGAAGAUCUCUUCUUUGCCAGGCACAAGAGUAGAUACGUAGAGUUGAAGUUUGCGUUAUUGAUGAUAAAAUAGAGAUUGGGAACUUACUGAUCAGA
rfam:Triticum aestivum genome assembly, contig: Triticum_aestivum_CS42_TGACv1_scaffold_499834_6BL